rnacentral:rRNA from 1 species
GACGAACGCUGGCGGCGUGCCUAAUACAUGCAAGUCGAGCGGAGUUAUUCCUUCGGGGAUAACUUAGCGGCGGACGGGUGAGUAACACGUAGGCAACCUGCCUGUAAGGCUGGGAUAACUACCGGAAACGGUAGCUAAUACCGUAUAGUUUAUUUCUUCUCCUGGAGAGAUGAUGAAAGACGGAGCAAUCUGUCACUUACAGAUGGGCCUGCGGCGCAUUAGCUAGUUGGUGGGGUAACGGCUCACCGAGGCGACGAUGCGUAGCCGACCUGAGAGGGUGAACGGCCACACUGGGACUGAGACACGGCCCAGACUCCUACGGGAGGCAGCAGUAGGGAAUCUUCCGCAAUGGACGAAAGUCUGACGGAGCAACGCCGCGUGAGUGAUGAAGGUUUUCGGAUCGUAAAGCUCUGUUGCCAGGGAAGAACGUCCGGUAGAGUAACUGCUACCGGAGUGACGGUACCUGAGAAGAAAGCCCCGGCUAACUACGUGCCAGCAGCCGCCGUAAGAC